AGCGAACGCUGGCGGCAGGCCUAACACAUGCAAGUCGAACGAACCUUUCGGGGUUAGUGGCGGACGGGUGAGUAACACGUUGGAACGUGCCUUUAGGUUCGGAAUAACUCAGUGAAACUUGUGCUAAUACCGAAUGUGCCCUUCUGGGGAAAGAUUUAUCGCCUUUAGAGCGGCCCGCGUCUGAUUAGCUAGUUGGUUGAGGUAAUGGCUCACCAAGGCGACGAUCAGUAGCUGGUCUGAGAGGAUGAUCAGCCACAUUGGGACUGAGACACGGCCCAAACUCCUACGGGAGGCAGCAGUGGGGAAUCUUGCGCAAUGGGCGAAAGCCUGACGCAGCCAUGCCGCGUGAAUGAUGAAGGUCUUAGGAUUGUAAAAUUCUUUCACCGGGGACGAUAAUGACGGUACCCGGAGAAGAAGCCCCGGCUAACUUCGUG
rnacentral:rRNA from 1 species